rnacentral:rRNA from 1 species
UACGUAGGGGGCUAGCGUUGUCCGGAUUUAUUGGGCGUAAAGAGCGUGUAGGCGGCCAGAUAGGUCUGCUGUGAAAACUCGAGGCUCAACCUCGAGAUGUCGGCGGAAACCAUUUGGCUAGAGUCCGGAAGAGGAAAGUGGAAUUCCUGGUGUAGCGGUGGAAUGCGCAGAUAUCAGGAGGAACACCGAUGGCGAAGGCAGAUCUCUGGGCCGUAACUGACGCUGAGGAGCGAAAGCAUGGGGAGCGAACAGG